AACAAGGAUUCCCCUAGUAACUGCGAGUGAAGCGGGAAAAGCUCAAAUUUAAAAUCUGGCGGUCUUUUGCCGUCCGAGUUGUAAUCUAGAGAAGUAAUGCCCGUGCUGGACCGUGUAUAAGUCUCCUGGGAUGGGGCGUCAUAGAGGGUGAGAAUCCCGUCUUUGACACGGACUACCAGUGCAUUGUGGUAUGCUCUCAAAGAGUCGAGUUGUUUGGGAAUGCAGCUCAAAAUGGGUGGUAAAUUCCAUCUAAAGCUAAAUAUUGGCGAGAGACCGAUAGCGAACAAGUACCGUGAGGGAAAGAUGAAAAGAACUUUGGAAAGAGAGUUAAACAGUACGUGAAAUUGCUGAAAGGGAAACGCUUGAAGUCAGUCGCGUUGGCCAGGGAUCAGCCUUGCUUUUGCAUGGUGUAUUUUCUGGUUAACGGGUCAGCAUCAAUUUUGACCACUGGAAAAGGGCCUGGGGAAUGUGGCAGCUUAGGCUGUGUUAUAACCCCUGGUCGCAUACAGUGGUUGGGAUUGAAGAACUCAGCACCCCCCAAGGCCGGGUUUCGACCACGUUCGUGCUUAGGAUGCUGGCAUAAUGGC
rnacentral:rRNA from 1 species